UGUUCGUGUUUUUGUUGCGCGUGCGGCAAGUUUUGUUUGCCGAAGUGCCGUGGAAAAGAUAUAGUAUGUCUUAUUUGGGUUACAAUUCAUGAGUGGAGUUUCAACAGAUGCUUCCUUGUUCCCUGUAAUGAAAUUUAGUUGCACCUGGCAACUUUCCAGAUCGUGCUGUGAUGUUUACCGCUACAGCGGUGUGAUGCACGUGUAGAAAGCGCCCGCGAGAAACGGCCAUCCGUUUAAAGCAAAGAGUAUCGAUGCGACUUACGUUGAUGAAGUCACCUGAAAACGAUGUGGGCAAUCGUGACGCCUUGUCACAUCCUGUAUCACAACCUUGUUUUCUCAGCUGUUGUGUGCAAUCGCUAAUUCACUCUAGCUCAACGUGUAAUGAAAACCUUGGAACCCUAGCAUUGCAAAUCACGAUCCAAUGCCACUACCUGCUUCGUCGCCAUCUUCAUGUGGUGGAAUACUACUGCACAUCCCUUGCUUCAAUUACCUCGAUAUCCAUGUCAUCGAACAACCGAGCAACAUGUAAAGGUGUCACCAUAAAGCUUCAACCUCUGUGAGCACAGCACGUUAGGACAAGAGUGAGAACGACGACGAACGUCUUGAUUCAGGUAGAGUCAGGGACUUCAAGGGAAGAACCGCGGCCUGGAGAUGGGAGCGUGGGCAGAUGCUCUCUUGACAUCGCUGGUGUAGGGCUGCUCCGGGGCUUUUGGAAAUAAAUUUUUGUGUGGACACUUCUUGUGGUGCAGUGCUGUGGAAGACUACUGAAUAUUUCUGUGAAGGAAUGUUGUGCUGUGCUUUCAUCGCAAGACAUUUAUGUACAUUUUGUGCAAUUUAUGCGUCAUGCAUAAUUGGCAUGGAAGUUCUACAUAAGGACGAGAAGAAAACAUCAAGUUUGUCUGGGUAACAGCGUCCAUAAGCCGGAGAACCAGGGGUGCAAGAGGGAAUGCUUAUUCUACAAUUACCGUACUUUUUCGAGGAUCCACACCACUUUCUUGCGCCAGCGCCAGUGGUGCUUCCUGCCAACACUUUCAAGCAAGUGACACUACAAAUGGGUAGAUUAGCGUGUCUUUAACCACCAAAGCUAAUCACAUUUUUGCACAAUAGUUGUGCUUCAUUGUAACAAACAGAUCUGAAGAGUUCACCCCUGUGACUAGUUUUGCAUACUUUGUGUACAGUUUUUGGUUGAAAUAAAUUCAUUAGAAAAG